rnacentral:rRNA from 1 species
CAGUAGCCGCGGUAAUACAGAGGGUGCGAGCGUUAAUCGGAUUUACUGGGCGUAAAGCGUGCGUAGGCGGCUUCUUAAGUCGGAUGUGAAAUCCCUGAGCUUAACUUAGGAAUUGCAUUCGAUACUGGGAAGCUAGAGCAUGGGAGAGGAUGGUAGAAUUCCAGGUGUAGCGGUGAAAUGCGUAGAGAUCUGGAGGAAUACCGAUGGCGAAGGCAGCCAUCUGGCCUAAUACUGACGCUGAGGUACGAAAGCAUGGGGAGCAAACAGGAUUAGAUACCCCAGUAGUCCCUGUCUCUUAACA